AACAACUACUCCAGAGAAUCAUUUCUAUAGUUAUCGUCCCAUCUUCUAUGUUUCCCAACAUAGCUACAGAUCCCACCCAGGUUGAUGACCAAAAAUCCCCGUCAUGCCCUAGAGUGAACACACCACCUUUUUUACUCGCGACCUGCCUGCAAAGGUGGCGGCUGCCUUGCAGCUGUAUAGCGAGUGGUGAUGAUCUCUACCCUGAUCUUCCUCGAGGUCUUGCCUUCGGGCGCUCGGGCGGGGUGGCUGACGGUGGACGUCUGACUGGC
rnacentral:snoRNA from 1 species